GCUAUGGGGUCGCUGCGGGCGGCGGGGCGGCCCCGGGGCGGAGCGGCGGCGGGGGGAGCCGCAGCGUGCUCGGACGUUGCCCAUCUCUGGUGCUUUGUUUGUCCAUGCGAGUAGAGUUUUCGGGGCGCUGGGGUGCCCUGUGCCAGCCCCCGGUUCCCGGCAGCGCCAGAUGGAGCAGCAUGCCGUGUGCAGCAGGAUUGUGGAGUUGAUGUCGGGUGACCCCACUACAGGAAAGGCCGAUAGCCAUUACAAGUGGUGACCAGAGGGAACACCUGCCCAGCCCAGGUCCACCGUAUGGUCCAGAGCCUGAUGCUCACAGGUGUGUUGGAUCCAGGGAAGCACAGUUUUCCUCCAGACUAUAACCUCCAAAACCCGCAGCACUGUGACCGAGGGACUGGACAGCCAUCAGCUCAUUUGUCUUCAUUAGUGUGUCCUUCCGAAAAGCCACCACAACGAGCAGCGAGGAGACCUGCAGCACAUGAACUUCAGUGUGCUACCUCAGCAGUGGCCACCUCCAGAGCUCGGGGAAGACAGAAGAUCGUUCCUUGUUGACCUUGCCAGCCCUGCGGAGAUAAGCUGCACACAGUGAAGCAGUUUGAGAUGAGGGGCCCUGAGCAGCAGCAACCCUUGCUCUACUUGCACAGCUACUGAGUGGUGUUCUCUUCCCUUCCUGCCACCCCUCAUCCAGAAAUGGGAGGCAAAGGGGACUCGAGGAGCACAAUCAGUCAGCGGUAAAGUAGGCUCUUCUGCUGAGUUGUGAUCCUUCAUCUGCAGUUCUUCAGGAGCUUAAAUUCUGAAUGGCCAGGGGUCUGGCUGUUGCCCUUGGGUGUGAAACCACUUCUGCUCGGUGGAGGGUGAGCAAAGAUCUGCGGGGGCACAGGUGGACGAUUAGGGCUGAGGCGUAUAAAGAAAUGAUGUGAAUGGUCACAAGGGAAGAGAUGCCAAACAUCUGUGUCACAAAGCUCCAUGGAGUACAGAAUCCAGAAGGCAUCAUAAAGCCACUGUUCCUGGUCAGGAGGCAUUGACCACCCUGGGAGGCAGCCUGAGAGACCCAUGCAGUGUGUUGGCAGUGAGGAGACUCCAGAUGCCCCAGCAAAGGCUUCUUUCACGUGACAACAGCCAUUGAUGUUUCAUAAUCUGGUGGAAGUCUUCGGGCAAGACCUUUCUCCGGGGAAGCUGUGCCUCUGUCAGUGGAAAUGGCUGCUGCCCCGCACUACGCUCGCCUCCUUUCCAGGCCCUGCGUGGGGACAGGGACCUGCAGGAGCUGCUCCUACCGCUGCGAGAUGACCCCUCUGCACAGAGACCCAUCGCAGCAGCCAAGGGCGGCUGAACGUUGUGGCACAUCAGGCGUGCUUGCUGCAGCACCCGGUGUCCUGGGGUCCCAGGGGCGGCCCGUGUGCCCGGCGACUGAUCCAGACAUAAUGAAGGAUUUUACGUGGCUGUCCCUGCUGCUGUCCUACUCAGGGUGUGACGGCGGAGGCACAAGGCGUCCUGACUCAGCUGCUCCUUGGCAAGAGUGCCGUUAGUCUUGUCGUGCUUUUCUCUGGGUCACGCGUGCACUAAAAAUACCCCCUUAUGGAGCCAAAUUUCCUGACAUAUCUCCUGUAUUUGUGCAGAGCAUCGCCUGCUCUCCUCUGAAAUCCCUGUGUGUCCAAGGCAGCCGCUGUGUGGUGUCCGACCCGAGUACUCGGUGCCCUGAGCAGACCAUGGGGAUGCUGGGAGUGGAGCCACUUUGUAAACAGUGUUUUUAUGUUCUCGUUUCAACACCAAUGUCCAUCCAGCCUUUUCCUUCUCUGCUGCCACUGCCAAGCCUUUCCUCCAGGCUUUUGCUGGAAUUCGGUUUUGUUAUUGGCUCUGAAGAGCUGCUCCUCCUUUUCGGGUCCCACCAGUAGAGUGGGAUGCCUUGUUGUAGGACAACUGUUGGAGCUUCAGCCUUUCCUCUGCUGUCUCUGGGUUGCCCACACACCGACGGGUCCCCAGUCCCCCAAUUCCCUGUUUCUGCAGUCUGGAGAGCAUUUCCUUCAGGGGAAAAAUGAGAAAAAUCCAGGCAGGACUUCUUUAAUAUUGGAAAGCUGUCUACUUCAAUUAACAAGUUUAAGCUGAAAGAGGGGAGAUUUAGAUGAGAUUUUAGGAAGAAAUAUUUUCCUGUGAGAGUGGCUGCUAGUAAUACCAUAAUUGAAUUCAUAAAUAAGAAUUAUUUAAGGCUUCAUGCUACCUUGGGCCUUUCUUCUCCUGCUUUUGAAACCACAGAAAAAUCGUGGAAUGAUUUGGGUUGGAAGGGAUCUUAAAGAUCAUCCCGCAACCCCACCAUGGGCAUGGAAACAAAAAUAAAAAGCCAAAAUAAAGGUGGAAGGAAACCCAAGGAGUGACCAUUCUCCCCUGCUGUCCCAAAAUGUCCUCGGCUGCACCCACACCAUCCUGGGAGACAGAAACCUGCUGGAACGUGGCCUCAAAGCCUUCCAGCAAUGGGGAUCUUACAAACUCUGUCCACAUCACCAGUAGAGUUCUACAAUGUCUGAUUGACAUCUGCCUUGUGGUAACGGAGCGCCUCACUUCCUCCGCUAUGAGACCCAGCAUCACAAACCCCCUUUCUCUUUGCAUCAGGAUUUUACCUAUUUACAGACUGUUAUGACGUUCCCUUCAAUCUUUUCUUUUGGUUGAACAGUCCUAAUUCUUUCCAUCCUUCCUCAUCGAUGCUGACUCUUAGAGCUCUGAUGACUCUUGUUGCUCCUCCUGGCUCUUUGCAGCUGGCAGCCUGAUGCCCAGACCAGCAGUGGAGCCCAGUAACCCUGAGAGACCAUCACCGCUGCUGGGGAGGCUCCUCUUUGCCCCUCUCCUUGAAAUAUAAAUUAAGCCUAAUAUUUUCAUAGAAUCCCUACGUUGGAAAGGACCCACUGGAUCAUCGAGUCCAACCUUUCCUAACACUCCCUUAAACCAUGUCCCUCAGCACCUCAUCCACCCGUCCCUUAAACACCUCCAGGGAAAGGGACUCAACCACCUCCCUGGGCAGCCUGGUUUUUUCAGCUGAUAGUUUCCCCUGGAGGAAAACAGUGCUAAAACCAAAGGUGUGUUCAGUGGUUUUGUGUUCAGUAACCCAGCUGGUUAUCGCUUGGACACAUUUACACUUCAUUUUAUACUUGUUGACAUCGAUCUCCUUUGACAUCUACUGCCCAUAGCCAUCAUCUAUAGCCAUAACACAGUUCCUUUGCCACUCAUUUUUUUUCAUUAUCUUCACCUUUUUGCAUUCUACUAAUGAUGAGAAAUUGUGAGGGGAAAUAUUCUCUGUGUACAAAGUGGCUUAUUUUGAAAAAGGUGAAAUAGGAAAGCUGGGAAAGUGCAGUGCCCCUCCUUGUGCUGUGCUAAAUAAAGUCCCUGUGAGCUCUUAAAGGAGCACUUUGAGCACAGAUCCUGCCGGCACGAGGGCAUCAAUAGGUUAGGAGGUCACUUGUGCAGAUGGUGGAGCAUCCUUCCAGUGAAAUACAUUGUGCUGUGCCAAAACAAAGGUGACUCGAAGCCUACAAGGGACCAGACCCUGACCUUUCAUUUUGCUGUAGUGAUUCCCCUUCUGCUGCACACCCGGAUCCAGACAGAGCCCCAGAAAUAAAGUACACUGAUUUUUUUCAAUUACGAUUCAUAUUGUUGGCUUAAUGGAUAUGAAAUAGGGCCUUAUUAAUAGAUAAGGAUAUUAAUAACUCCUUUUGGUUAAUUGAAAAGGUAAUAUUAAUGAAAAUAGAGCACUUCAAAAUGUCUGUCCCAUAGGGACGUUUAGGCAUUAGCUUCCGUCCCUGGGAGGGAGUGUUUGCUGUCGGGUAUUCUUUCUCCUCAGUUUUACACUGAACUGGGUUUCUUUUAAUUCAUUUUAUGAGACAGUGUUAAUGUGCUCCUUCCUCUCUGGGACCCGGCUGACGCGGGACUCUGUUUCCCCGUGAGCUGUCAGUUAAAGCACACAGCAUCCUCUCCCACCAGUCAGUGUUUGGGGGGCUCUGGGGUGUGUUAGGGGUUGUCACGGCAGCAUUUACACAGCUCAGCUAAAUCAGGUAGGUCGCCAUCACCUGGCUGUGAUGUCAUCGUUGUCACAGCUAAACCAGGACAAAACAGCUCUGAACCAAACAAGCAUGGACAAAUCUUAACCCCCAGCGCUGCCAGAUCACUACAAAGCCCGAGGUGUUUUGUUACAGUGGUGAAAAUUGUAUUUACUGGGCUGUACCUUUGGCUUCUGGGCAAGGAAAAGGCACCUUUCUCACAUACUCUUCUCCUCUGACACUGAAGCUGUGGCUGCUGAGGUCACAGUCGCAGAGAGGUCUCUUGGUGAGGGAGGGAAGCCGAGUUCUGCGCACGACUCUCCUGAUGGUGAGAUCUUUCCUUCCCAUCUGCCUCCAGAGGGGCUACGGGAGGCGAUGUCCUCAGGCAACACUGGGGGACCUUCUUGACAUGGCCAGGGAGUUGGUGUAGUGAGACACAGCGACGGCAGGAGGGCAUGAAAGGAGAGGGUUUAGAGGGAUUGGGUGGAUUUAUCUUCAAGGAAGAGGGACUCUGAAAAGGUGCAAAAUGAGAGCUGGGUGCUCACUCUAAAGGAGUGGAUGAAAAGCAGAGCUCUUUAACACCUGACAAGCCUGACUUGCAGAGGAACCUUCUGCCUGAAUUGUGUUUUAGGAACAAGCUGGGCUGUUGGAAACCGGAGUGAUGGAGAAGUGGAACAGAUGGGAACACAACGUUUCCCUGCCCGUGUGCUCACUUCUUGUUUCUGUCGGCAUAAAGACAAACACUGAUGUGUUCUUCUGCAGAAAGCUGGCGGUGGAUUUAGCCUAGAUUGUUGAUAUUGUAAAUUAAUGACAAACGAUUAAAAUUAGAAAGCAAAGAUGAUAACGCUUGGAAAAUAAUACUGAGAAGUGGAACUGCAAAAUGAUAUAAGCAAAUUAUAAUCAUCAGAUAAGGAAAAUAAAUAUAAUGGGAUAACGAUCUUACCAGUGGUGAAGCCUAGCCUAGCAUCGCUUAUUGGAGGUAUUUGAAAAGGAAUGAGCCAGAACAUAAAAUAGUGGAUAAGAAUUUGAGUUGAUGGUAGAUGAGGAUUGUUAUGCGGAGGUAUUAUGUACCAGACUUCAGAAGCAGCAAUGUUUUAGUGAAAAUAUAGAUGUAAAUAGGAGCUGAUUCAGUGGGCAGGUGUGUGUGGGCAGGGAGCCAAUUUUGUCCAAACUGGACUAAAACGUAAAACCAGUUCCUAUGUACUGGACAGGCAGACAAACUUGUUUCAAAGCAUUAAAAUGAGGAACAGCAAAUCCAGUCCUCUGGUCCUGAAGGCCUUCCUACUGUAUAAUCGCUGUCUUUAGCUGAUCUGUCCCUCUUGGAAAUGAGACUUUCCUGCCCUCCCAUGACAAGAAGGUAUCACAUCUUCCUGUUGCUGCCUUGCAAACCUGCUUCCAGCCCAGGUUUCCCCAUAGAAACACGGAGCACAUCAGGGAUAAACCGUGCUCGUGCUGCUGUACAGUGAAAGAUCACCUGAGGUGUAACUUGAGAACA